rnacentral:rRNA from 1 species
CCUACGGGUGGCAGCAGUGAGGGAUAUUGGUCAAUGGGGGAAAGCCUGAACCAGCAACGCCGCGUGAGGGAAGACGGCCCUAUGGAUUGUAAACCUCUUUUGGCGGGGAGCAAUGCUGGGCACGCGUGCCCGGAGGGAGAGUACCUGCAGAAAAAGCAUCGGCUAACUCCGUGCCAGCAGCCGCGGUAAUACGGAGGAUGCGAGCGUUAUCCGGAUUUAUUGGGUUUAAAGGGUGCGAAGGCGGAUGAUUAAGUCAGCGGUAAAAUUGAGGGGCUCAACCCGGGCCGGCCGUUGAAACUGGGGAUCUUGAGUGGGCGAGAAGUAUGCGGAAUGCGUGGUGUAGCGGUGAAAUGCAUAGAUAUCACGCAGAACUCCGAUUGCGAAGGCAGCAUACCGGCGCCCAACUGACGCUGAGGCACGAAAGCGUGGGGAUCGAACAGGAUUAGAUACCCUAGUAGUC